CUAGCGCCCCCCCCCCCCCCCCCCCCCCCCCGUUUACGGCUGAGAAGGAGGAGAGGGCGUGUGGGAUUGAUUCACCGGGACCACACGGGCAACGCUAGCCUCUCCCUGUUCUGGCCAAUCGCUACCGAUCCUUGUAUUUUCAGCUCGACUCUCGCCUCCUUGGGGGCACCUUUCCAGAUCCGUCAGGGACAACAGGUGCUUGCUUGGAACUGUGUCCUCUGUAAAGUUACCAUAGUGGGAGUCGUGGGCUCACUCCCGUGACUCAGUGGCUGCCUGUCAGGACAGAAGGAAGAAGCUUUGCUGAACUGGGAACUCACCCCUGAGUCUGCAGCUCACGGCCUGACACGUGGUCGGUGACGAGGAAACGGUUGUGGGUGGAAUGAAAGUCUUUUCUCACUGGCCUGCCUGCACCCGGCUGCCUUUGGGGGCCUUGGGAAGCCGUCCCUGGAGACGUCCAACGCCAGGGACAAAAGGGGUGCAAAGGCACCGAGAAUCCUUACACCAUUUUAGAAAAAACAUGGGAAGAAGGAGCCACGUUCAAUGUUUAUGGCGAUUUUCUCCGGGAGAAGGGGGAUUCGGGGUGGUUUUGACCCCCUUCCCGUUUCCGUGCUGGCUUCGCGCUGUGUUUUAUGCUCGCACACGUGGCUGAGGUGGUGGCCCGGCCGGAGGCGAGAUUUGGCGUCUGUGGUGGGUGGAGGCUCCCCGGGACCCUUGAGACGCUGCGGAGCUGGUUCCUACGAGGCUCAGACCGGCCCCUGGCGCACGGAGAGCCUCUGCCUGCUCACGCCUAUGCCUGGGGUGGACGCGGACCAGGAAUCAGGACCCCGAGGCCGCCCCUUCUCUCUCUGUACCUGGGCCCCCGGCACAGAUGAGCAAACGGGCCCAGAGAGGGCGAGCAACCUUCCUGAGGCCACAUAGCAUUCGAGCACCCGGACUCAGGAGUCCGUCCCCUCCGUCACCACACGGAGACAGGGACAACCACAGGGGGCUGGGGACACGCGCCCACACGGCAGGGACGGAUCCUGGACUGUCUUUGUCCCCAGCGUGAGCACCGUCCUGCCCACCGGAGAGAGACGGCAGGGUCACGGCAGAGACGACAACAGACCGUCGCUUCCGAUGAGGACUUCAGUGAAAUUCUCGGCAGGCUCGGGACGUGCUGUGUCUGUCUCCCUGGGUAACUUCCGGAUGCUAUCACUCCACAUGCCUGUUUAUCUCGCCGGGCUCCGUCUCUCCCCGGCCCCCCAAGGAGGUGCUGCUGCUCGGAUACAAGUGGUCCCUCCCUCUCAUUCUCACGCCUCCCCCAGAAGCCGCUUCCUCCCAGGCGACAGACGAACAUCCUGCCGACGGGCUGUCUGCUGAGCGCAUGCCUGGUCUCUCAGGUCCCGAGCUUGGGGUGCCUUCAGACUCGCCCCGGAAAUGCGGGGGGCGGGGAGCCCAGAGCAGGGGACAGCCUUGCCUUGAUGUGAUUCUGGGAAGGGACUGCGUCCGGGUAGGACGCGCUCCUGGAGGCUGGCUGUUGCAAACACUCACCCGUUCCAGCCGCCGUCUGAUCAGGCUCACGGAUUCUGUGGGGUCAGGCACGUGGGCAGGACCCAGCGGGGCUGGUGAAUCUCUGCUCCGUGACGUCUGGGGCCCCACCCCGGGAAGGCUUGAAGGCUGGGGGGGGGGGGGUGGUUGUCACUCUGUGGCUCUGGGCUGGCAUCAUCCAGACACCGGGUCCCGAGGGUAAGCAUCCCAGCAGAGGCAAUGCAGUCGCGCACACACGUUCACGAUCCAACCUCGGAGGUCACGACGCGUCUCUCCGCUCGUGCGCGGAUGUCUGCCCUGGUCCGCAGGGAGGGAACGUGGAGCCCACCGCUCGAGGGGGAGGCGGCCAGAUUCCAGAGGAUGGUGUGGGGGGGAGGCAGACUUCCCUGCAGCCGCGUCUGGGAAACGCAAUCUGUCACCCCAUCUCACAUGCGAACCCCGUCCUCACGGCCGAGCGCCCGCUGGUGCGGCCUCCCCUCCCCUGACGAGGAGCUGACCACCACCAGCAGAAGCCCGGUCUGUACGAUGUAAGCCCAGGGGAUUCAUUGGCACGAGGUGGGGGACACUGAAGGCUCGGAGUAAAAAAGGACCAGCGAGCCACCAGAGGCAGGAACGCGGGGCCGUCUUGUCUGGGCGCUGCCUGGGGCAGAAGUGAACCUCGGUCUAUCCUUGAGCCUCUUCGUCAUUCAAAUGCUGGGGAGGGCGGAUCGGAAUAGAGCAGAACCACUUUCCUACUUGCUCAGCUCUGAGCGAGCUGCUUAGUUGCUUUGUGCCUCAGUUUCCGGGUCUGUAGAACAUGCACACUUAACGGCUACUUCCUAGGGUACGUGAACUGAAGUUAGACGACGCUGAUGGGUGCUCAGCACGGGGUGCCGUGCAGGGCCCCUUUGCAACAGAGGUUAGCCAACAGCAGCCACUGUGAUUUUGGCUGGCUUGUUUCCGGCCUAGGCCAGGGCCCGGCACGGAGUCGACGUUCGGUGGGAUCGCCCCCGAAUGAAUAAAUCAGUGCGCGACAAAAGAAAUGAAUGGCUCGGACGUGUGGCAACCAGGUUCUUCGA